CAUCUGCACGGUUGCAUAGAUACCAGACAGGUCGAGAUUCCCGAGUCAUUAUUGCGUUGACCCUUCUCAAAAAACAUCUUUUCAGUUAUCAAGGUCAUGUCUCAGCUGCUUUUGUGCUUGGUUGAUUUGAUAUUACCGGGCAUCAUCUUCAUACAGUAACUUUUUAACUCCUGAUCAAAGUUAUAUGCUCUUAAAAGCUUUUAUAGUUCAGGUUCUUUCAUUUUGUAUUCAUCUCUAACGUUCUGACUAAAAUAAAGAUAUACCCACAUGGUUCCACUAAUACUCUACCAUUUGCUACAAUGGGUUUUGAUUCCCUUGCUGCCAUGUCAGUGUUUGAAGCAAAGUAUAAAGAAGAUCUAACUGAUAAUCAGGUUUCUUAUCAGAUCAUAUCAGAUCCUAAAGUUUAUCAACCAGGUUUAAUACACCAGAUCAUCGCAGUAUCAGUUUUCCUUCUUGAUGCUUCAAAUCCUCUUGUGUAAACCCCAUAGAUGACACCAGAUCCUUCCUUAACACAAGCAUUGAGGACAACAAGAGUGACUGAGAACUAAAAAAAACGAGGCUAACAAAUCGGAGUUUUUCAUCCAUCUCUAAAUUCUCAAGUGGAAGAAGAUGUAGCAGAUAUGACAAUUUCGUUCCUUUGUCAAAAAUGCUAAAAGGGUGAUUUUUGUUUAUGUUCCACCUUAGCAAUUUCUUAUAUUUUGAUAGAUUAUUGAUUUUUAUAGAUUUAAUGUUGAGGCUGAUGUGUCAUAGCAUGAGAGCAACACAUCCUUCUUUUAU